GAUGAACGUUGGCGGCGUGGAUUAGGCAUGCAAGUCGGUCGGGACCCUUCGGGGCACCCGAGGCGGAAGGGUGAGUAAGGCGACGGCAACCAACCCCCCGGAUGGCGAUAGCCGCGGGAAACCGCGGGUAAUAGCCAGCGACGCGGCGCGUCGGCAUCGACGCGGCGCCAUAUGGUGGAAUUCCGCCGGGGGACGGGCCGUCGUGGUAUCAGCUAGAUGGUGGGGUCAUGGCCCACCAUGGCGACGGCGCCUACCGGGCGUGCGAGCGUGGCCCGGCACACUGGGACUGAGACACUGCCCAGACACCUACGGGUGGCUGCAGUCGAGAAUCUUCGGCAAUGGGCGCAAGCCUGACCGAGCGACGCCGCGUGGAGGACGAAGGCCUUCGGGUUGUAAACUCCUGUCGAGGGGGAACAAGGCGGCGCGCAGAGCGUCGCUUGAGUGAUCCCUGGAGGAAGCACGGGCUAAGUUCGUGCCAGCAGCCGCCGUAAGAC
rnacentral:rRNA from 1 species